UACGGAGGGGGCUAGCGUUGUUCGGAAUUACUUGGCGUAAAGCGCGCGUAGGCGGACCUGCAAGUCUGGGGUGAAAGCCCGAGGCUCAACCUCGGAACUGCCUUCGAUACUGCGGGUCUCGAGUCCGGGAGAGGUGAGUGGAAUUCCUAGUGUAGAGGUGAAAUUCGUAGAUAUUAGGAAGAACACCAGUGGCGAAGGCGGCUCACUGGCCCGGUACUGACGCUGAGGCGCGAAAGCGUGGGGAGCAAACAGG
rnacentral:rRNA from 1 species